rnacentral:tRNA from 1 species
GUAGAUGUAGUUUAACUAAAACAUUAGAUUGUGAUUCUAAAAACAGGGGCUAAAAUCCCCUUAUCCACC